rnacentral:lncRNA from 1 species
CCGAACAUUAUCGUUACCAGAAUCCUUCAAAAUAAUUGGUCAACCUUCAACCUCUUAAUAAGGAAUAAUAUAAUUAGAACAAGAACCGACGAAAAAAAUCAUUAUUAACUGUAAAAUAGGAAGCCAAAAAAUUUCAGACAGACAAAGAGAGCACACAAAUGAGAAAACAAAAUAGUUGAAGCAACAAGAUCAUCGUAUUUUACCAGUAGAAAAGAUUACUGCAAUUGGCAACUUUGUAGUAGUACUCCUUCACUAGCUACUUGAUGGUGAUGGAGAAUUAAAUACAUAUACAUAUAUGGACUUUAAAUUAAGAGUUUGCUACACGUGAUAUUGGCACGGCUCAAUCAAAAAGUAGAGUCAAAAUUUGUCGAGUACUGCUUUCUCAUUGAACCGCACCAAUAUCUCGUGUAUUCAUCCGACUACAACUUCAACAAUAUCCAUCCUUGAUUUUGACUUUGAUUUUCCUUUUCCAUCAUAUUUACAAAAGCAAAAUAAUUCUACGGGUGGAAUGAAUCAAGUUGAGGAAAAAAAUUCAAAGGAUUGAGGAAAU